GAAAUUGCAGGAUUUUUACUCUGUUGUACCGGUACAAGGUUGGUGCUGUACCGGUACAACCAUCAUGGAAAGUCGCUUGCUGUACCGGUACAAGGGUCCAUUUAUACCGGUACAGAGCGUGCGACAGAACUCAGUUGCUCUCGGGUUUGGCCUUGUACCGGUACAGCAAUCCGUGUACCGGUACAAGGGAGUUGGUAAGGGCUAAAUCCGUAAUUUUUCUACCUCGUUUGUAACGAUUCCUUCCCUCUCUCUCUAUAUCAGUUGGAAACCGAACAGAGGAAGAGAGAGAAGGCUUUUGUGCUUUCUUCUUUCUCUCUCUCUCUCAGCUUGGUGGAGGUGGAGCACGGUUGAGCCGGGGAUUCGCCGACGUCGCGCCGCGAGUCGUUCGAGCGAGCGUUUGUUGUCGGGACAUUGCGAGGAGGCCGGGCGAGGGUGCGUCUUCGCCGUCCUGGACAUCGCGCCGAGGAUUGUUGCUGUUGAGAAUCUACCGUCGACUGUUAGUAUUUCGGCUCGUUCUCCGCGUAGGAGCGUCGGAUCGCGACGAAACGUGGUUCAUUGGAUUCUAGACUGCGAGAGGAUUCCACGGAGCCCUCACUUGCAAUUUUUGGACGAGCUCGGCGACCGGUCUUGGUGGUCCCUGAGGAAUCCAGCAGCAUCGCGGGUGGCCGAGGCUGAGUUCGCUGCCAGGAAAAUUGCACUCGAGGUGGGUUACAUCGG